rnacentral:lncRNA from 1 species
CAGAUCUCUGCUUCUCUCCAUCUGUUGGACUCAUUCUUUCCUCACAUAGCAGAGCUUUAUUCACACUGCAGGAGACGUGGCAUGGGCAGCUCCAGGCUUCAUCAACCUAGAUUUGCAACUCCCAAGGAAACAAAGAUUUCUCUCUCCUAGCACUCAGAGACAGUCUUGAUAAGGGGCGGGAGGAACGGACGCAACAAGGAGAAAGGAAGCAACGGAAGGUCUUCGGCUGCUAAAAAAUGUAACUGACAAAGAGUCCAGGGCUGUUUGUAUUUUUCUUCCUCUGUGUCUCAUAUUAAACACUUUGGGUCUGAUGACUGAGUUUCUCCAGCCGA